AACGGAUCUCUUGGUUCUGGCAUCGAUGAAGAACGCAGCGAAAUGCGAUAAGUAAUGUGAAUUGCAGAAUUCAGUGAAUCAUCGAAUCUUUGAACGCACAUUGCGCCCGCCAGUAUUCUGGCGGGCAUGCCUGUUCGAGCGUCAUUU
rnacentral:rRNA from 1 species